rnacentral:rRNA from 1 species
CCCUUAGAUGUUCUGGGCAGCACGCGCGCUACAAUGGUCUUCGCAAACGGAUGCAUUCUCGAAGGAGAAUGCCAAUCUUGGAAUCUAUGCCUUGGUCGGGACAGUUGCUUGCAAUUUUUCGACUCGAACCAGGAAUUCCUUGUAAUCGUGAUUCAUCACAUCACGAUGAAUACGUCCCUGCCCUUUGUACACACCGCCCGUCGCUCCUACCGAUCGAAGAGUUAGGUGAAUUGUUUUGAUCGAUAAGAUUUGACUAUGGUCAACUCUCGUUGGGAGAUUCUGUGAAUCUGACUGUUUAGAGGAAGGAAAAGUCGUAACA